UACGUAGGGUGCGAGCGUUGUCCGGAAUUAUUGGGCGUAAAGAGCUUGUAGGCGGUUUGUCGCGUCUGCCGUGAAAAUCCGGGGCUCAACCCCGGACUUGCGGUGGGUACGGGCAGACUAGAGUGUGGUAGGGGAGACUGGAAUUCCUGGUGUAGCGGUGAAAUGCGCAGAUAUCAGGAGGAACACCGAUGGCGAAGGCAGGUCUCUGGGCCACUACUGAUGCUGAGAAGCGAAAGCGUGGGGAGCGAACAGG
rnacentral:rRNA from 1 species